AUUGAACGCUGGCGGCAGGCCUAACACAUGCAAGUCGAGCGGAUGAAGGGAGCUUGCUCCUGGAUUCAGCGGCGGACGGGUGAGUAAUGCCUAUGAAUCUGCCUGGUAGUGGGGGAUAACGUCCGGAAACGGGCGCUAAUACCGCAUACGUCCUGAUGGAGAAAGUGGGGGAUCUUCGGACCUCACGCUAUCAGAUGAGCCUAGGUCGGAUUAGCUAGUUGGUGGGGUAAAGGCCUACCAAGGCGACGAUCCGUAACUGGUCUGAGAGGAUGAUCAGUCACACUGGAACUGAGACACGGUCCAGACUCCUACGGGAGGCAGCAGUGGGGAAUAUUGGACAAUGGGCGAAAGCCUGAUCCAGCCAUGCCGCGUGUGUGAAGAAGGUCCUCGGAUUGUAAAGCACUUUAAGUUGGGAGGAAGGGCAGUAAGUUAAUACCUUGCUGUUUUGACGUUACCAACAGAAUAAGCACCGGCUAACUUCGUG
rnacentral:rRNA from 1 species